rnacentral:rRNA from 1 species
UACGUAGGGUGCAAGCGUUGUCCGGAAUUAUUGGGCGUAAAGAGCUCGUAGGCGGUCUGUUGCGUCGGCUGUGAAAACCCGGGGCUCAACUCCGGGCCUGCAGCCGAUACGGGCAGACUAGAGUUCGGCAGGGGAGACUGGAAUUCCUGGUGUAGCGGUGAAAUGCGCAGAUAUCAGGAGGAACACCGGUGGCGAAGGCGGGUCUCUGGGCCGAUACUGACGCUGAGGAGCGAAAGCGUGGGGGGAGCGAACAGG